AUUGAACGCUGGCGGCGUGCCUAACACAUGCAAGUCGAGCGGUAACAGGUGUAGCAAUACAUGCUGACGAGCGGCGAACGGGUGAGUAAUGCUUCGGAAUCUACCCAAUGGUGGGGAAUAACCAGCCGAAAGGUUGGCUAAUACCGCAUACGUCCCACGGGAGAAAGCAGGGAUCGCAAGACCUUGCGCCAAUGGAUGAGCCGAAGUCGGAUUAGCUAGUUGGAGGGUAACGGCCUACCAAGGCGACGAUCCGUAGCUGGUCUGAGAGGACGACCAGCCACACUGGGACUGAGACACGGCCCAGACUCCUACGGGAGGCAGCAGUGGGGAAUAUUGGACAAUGGGGGAAACCCUGAUCCAGCGACGCCGCGUGUGUGAAGAAGGCC
rnacentral:rRNA from 1 species